rnacentral:rRNA from 1 species
AGGGAAUAUUGCAAAAUGGGCGAAAGCCCGAUGCAGCAACGCCGCGUGGGCGAUGAAGGCCUUCGGGUCGUAGAGCCCUUUUUGAGGGGAUGAGGAAGGACAGUACCCUCAGAAUAAGCCUCGGCUAACUACGUGCCAGCAGCCGCGGUAAAACGUAGGAGGCGAGCGUUAUCCGGAUUUACUGGGCGUAAAGCGCGUGCAGGCGGAUUGGAGAGUUGGAUGUGAAAGCUCCCGGCUUAACUGGGAGAGGUCGUUCAAUACUUCCAGUCUUGAGUGCAGUAGAGGGAAGUGGAAUUCCGGGUGUAGUGGUGAAAUGCGUAGAUAUCCGGAGGAACACCAGUGGCGAAAGCGGCUUCCUGAACUGUAACUGACGCUCAGACGCGAAAGCUAGGGUAGCAAACG